AAAUGAGUUGAGCCAAAGGUAAAAAACGAAACCGCAUUCGUGUGAUGAUGUUUGUAUACAAUGGUGGAUCUAGGAGCCUGAGUUGGGGGUGCAAUUCAUCUAACUUUUUUUUUUUUUGCUUUCGUAUCGGUUUCCGAUCCAUCAAAAGUAGACGACUAAUUCGGCUCAUGCGUAGAGGCAUGUGCACUGACCAAGCGUUGUUCCUCCUGGGAAUCGGACCCGAUAUUCCCCCGGUACGUCCUUGGAAGGAGCUCAUUGCCACUGGAGCCCAAACAACUUUGGUUGCAAUUCAUUUAACUUUGAUUAAUAUUGAAAAUAGAAGUAUUUAAACAAUAAAUUAUAAUUUAUUUAACCAAAUUAAUUAUACAUAUGGACCGUCUCAACCAAUAAGGUCUAAAGCAAAUUUUGCUCAAAAAAAA
rnacentral:lncRNA from 1 species